AUACGGAGGAUCCGAGCGUUAUCCGGAUUUAUUGGGUUUAAAGGGUGCGCAGGCGGGAGAUUAAGUCGGCGGUGAAAUUUUGCAGCUCAACCGUAAAAGUGCCUUCGAAAAUGGUUUUCUUGAGUGUAGAUUAAAGAAGAGGAAUUUGUGGUGUAGCGGUGAAAUGCAUAGAUAUCACGAGGAACUCCGAUUGCGCAGGCAGCUUACUAAACUACUACUGACGCUCAGGCACGAAGGCGUGGGGAUCGAACAGGAUUAGAUACCCUGGUAGUCCACGCAGUAAACGAUGAUUACUAGCUGUUUGCGAUACAAUGUAAGCGGCUGAGCGAAAGCGUUAAGUAAUCCACCUGGGGAGUACGUUCGCAAGAAUGAAACUCAAAGGAAUUGACGGGG
rnacentral:rRNA from 1 species